GGGGAUAUAGCUCAGUGAUACAGUACCUGUCUGGCAAGCACAAGGUCCUGAGUUUGAUUCUCAGUACCA
rnacentral:tRNA from 1 species